UGUCUUCUCAGAUCCCCGCCGGAAGUGUAGGAAGAGAGCAAGCAGAUUUGAGCCUAUCUGCUUUCAAGCUGGUGAUCGUGAUGAAACUUAGAAACAAAAAUGAAAAGCCAGGUAAAGGUUCCAAGGGCUGUAAGAAGCCUGCAAAACGAAAUGGGAAGAAAGCAACCUCCAAAGUGCCCUCUGCUCCUCAGUUUGUUCAUUCCAAUGAUCAUGCCAAUCAAGAGGCUGAAUUAAAGAAGAGAGUUGAGGAGAUGAGGGAGAAGCAAGCUGCCUAGGAGCAAGAAAGACAAAAACGCAGGUCUAUCAAGAGCUACUGUGAGGAUAUCCUAACACGCCAGGAGGAGUUUGAGUGUAAGGAGGAAGUUGUGCAGGAAUUAAAUAUGUUUCCUCAGCUGGAUGACGAGGCCACGAGGAAGGCUUAUUACAAGGAGUUCCAUAAGGUGGUAGAAUACUCUGAUGUGAUUCUGGAAGUCCUGGAUGCCAGAGACCCAUUAGGCUGCUGCUGCUUACAAAUGGAGGAGGCUGUUCUAUGGGCAGAAGGCAACAAGAAGCUGGUCCUGGUCUUGAACAAGAUUGACCUGGACCCCAAGGAGGUUGUGAAGUGGCUGGAUUACCUUCGGAAUGAGUUGCCAACUGUGGCUUUCAAGGCCAGGACCCAGCAUGUCAGCUUUGGAGCUGAAAACCUCAUGAGGGUUCUGGGGAACUAUUGCCACCUUGGUGAAGUGUGCACCCACAUCAAUAUGGGUGUUGUGGGCCUUCCCAAUGUUGGGAAGAGCAGCCUGAUUAAUAGCCUGAAGCACAGCCAUGCAUGCCGCGUGGGAGCCGUUCCUGGGGUCACGAAAUUCAUGCAGGAGGUCUACCUGGACAAGUUCAUCUGGCUGCUGGAUGCUCUAGCCAUUGUCCCAGGGCCCAGCUCCGAGGUGGGCACCAUUCUGCAUAGUUGCAUCCACGUGCAGAGACUGGCAGACCCGGUAACCCCAGUGGAGACCAUCUUGCAGAGCUGCAACCUGGAGAUUUCCAACUAUUACCUCCUCUCUGGGUACCAGACUACUGAGCACUUUCUGAUGGCAGUGGCCCACCAUUUGGGGAAGAGAGACUUAUGCAGUCAGGAGCAGGCAGCCAAAGCUGUCCUAGCUGACUGGGUGAGCGGGAAGAUCAGCUUCUAUAACCAUCACCACCCACUCACACUGCCUGCCUAUCUCAGCACUGAGAUCAUUAAGGAAAUGACCAAGGUCUUUCACAUCGGGAAUACCGAGCAGGUCAAUGAAGACACCAUGGAAUGCUUGGCCACUGGAGAAUGUGAUGAGGUGUUGGGUGACUUGGACCCACUCAAAAUGGAGAUCAAGUUGCUCCAUUAUCCGAUGAUGAAAAUAGCAGAUGCCAUUGAAAAUAAAGCCACCAUGUAUAAGAUCGGAGAUCUCACUGGGUAUUGCACCAAUCCGAAUCGUCAUCAGAAGGGGUGGGGCUAAACUCAAUGUGGAUCACCACCCUAAAAACAACAGUAAAGUGGAUGUGUGCCCAGUGGACUGCUGCCCAGUACUGCGGAGGAUCAUGGGGAUGGACUCCCUAUAACAGGGCCAGGCUCUGGCAUCCUCCCUAAAGAAUAAGAAUACGCAGAAAUGUGCAGAUAAAAUCGCCAGGGAGCUGUCUGAUUCCAUGAUGUCUGCCGUCAACCUCUCUGGCAAUGUUGAUGGCGGUGUUGAUGACUAA